UACGUAGGCAGCGAGCGUUGUUCGGAGUUACUGGGCGUAAAGGGUGUGUAGGCGGUUGUUUAAGUUUGGUGUGAAAUCUCCCGGCUCAACUGGGAGGGUGCGCCGAAUACUGAAUGACUUCGAGUGCGGGAGAGGAGAGUGGAAUUCCUGGUGUAGCGGUGAAAUGCGCAGAUAUCAGGAAGAACACCCGUGGCGAAGGCGGCUCUCUGGAACGCAACUGACGCUGAGACGCGAAAGCGUGGGGGAGCAAACAGG
rnacentral:rRNA from 1 species